CGAUGGGCUAACACCCAUCGUUAUUAUCUAUCGCCCUUUCAGGGCU
rnacentral:sRNA from 1 species